rnacentral:rRNA from 1 species
UACAGAGGUCUCAAGCGUUGUUCGGAUUCAUUGGGCGUAAAGGGCGCGUAGGCGGCGGGGUAAGUCUGGUGUGAAAUCUCGGAGCUCAACUCCGAAAUUGCACUGGAUACUGCUCUGCUAGAGGGCUGGAGAGGAGAUCGGAAUUCACGGUGUAGCAGUGAAAUGCGUAGAUAUCGUGAGGAAGACCAGUGGCGAAGGCGGGUCUCUGGACAGUUCCUGACGCUGAGGCACGAAGGCCAGGGGAGCAAACGGG